rnacentral:rRNA from 1 species
GUGGGGAAUUUUGGACAAUGGGCGCAAGCCUGAUCCAGCGACGCCGCGUGGAGGACGAAGGCCUUCGGGUUGUAAACUCCUUUUGGAGGGGAAGAAUAAAUUGACGGUACCCUCAGAAAAAGCCACGGCUAACUACGUGCCAGCAGCCGCGGUAAUACGUAGGUGGCGAGCGUUACUCGGAAUUACUAGGCGUAAAGCGUAUGUAGGUGGUUAGAUAAGUCUAUGGUGAAAUUUCCUGGCUUAACUGGGAAGGGACAUAGAUACUAUCUGGCUUGAGUGUGGGAGGGGGAGACGGAAUUCCUGGUGUAGCGGUGAAAUGCGUAGAUAUCAGGAGGAACACCGAUGGCGAAAGCAGUCUCCUGGCCCAAUACUGACACUGAGGUACGAAAGCUAGGGUAGCAAACAGGAUUAGAUACCCGUGUAGUCC